rnacentral:rRNA from 1 species
GAUGAACGCUAGCGGCAGGCUUAAUACAUGCAAGUCGAGGGGUAGCAAGUUUGUAGCAAUACAAUUGUUGACGACCGGCAAACGGGUGCGGAACACGUACACAACCUUCCUACAAGUGGGGAAUAGCCCAGAGAAAUUUGGAUUAAUACCCCGUAACAUAGCGAUGUGGCAUCACAUUGCUAUUAUAGCUUCGGCGCUUGUUGAUGGGUGUGCGGCUGAUUAGAUAGUUGGCGGGGUAACGGCCCACCAAGUCUACGAUCAGUAGCUGAUGUGAGAGCAUGAUCAGCCACACGGGCACUGAGACACGGGCCCGACUCCUACGGGAGGCAGCAGUAAGGAGUAUUGGACAAUGGACGCAAAUCUGAUCCAGCCAUGCCGCGUGAAGGAUUAAGGUCCUCUGGAUUGUUAACCUCUUUUAUAAGGGACGAAAAAAGGUCUUUCUAGAUCGUCUGACGGUACCUUAUGAAUAAGCACCGGCUAACUCCGUGCCAGCCGCCGCGGUAAAAC